UUAAGCAUAUCAAUAAGCGGAGGAAAAGAAACCAACCGGGAUUGCCUCAGUAACGGCGAGUGAAGCGGCAAGAGCUCAAAUUUGAAAGCUGGCUCCUUCGGAGUCCGCAUUGUAAUUUGCAGAGGAUGCUUUGGGUGCGGCCCCCGUCUAAGUGCCCUGGAACGGGCCGUCAGAGAGGGUGAGAAUCCCGUCUUGGGCGGGGUGUCCGUGCCCGUGUAAAGCUCCUUCGACGAGUCGAGUUGUUUGGGAAUGCAGCUCUAAAUGGGUGGUAAAUUUCAUCUAAAGCUAAAUACUGGCCGGAGACCGAUAGCGCACAAGUAGAGUGAUCGAAAGAUGAAAAGCACUUUGAAAAGAGAGUUAAACAGCACGUGAAAUUGUUGAAAGGGAAGCGCUUGCGACCAGACUCGCCCGCGGGGUUCAGCCGGCAUUCGUGCCGGUGUACUUCCCCGUGGGCGGGCCAGCGUCGGUUUGGGCGGCCGGUCAAAGGCCCCUGGAAUGUAGUACCCUCCGGGGUACCUUAUAGCCAGGGGUGCAAUGCGGCCAGCCUGGACCGAGGAACGCGCUUCGGCACGGA
rnacentral:rRNA from 1 species